CCAAAAGCUAGAGAGGGGACCGACGGGGAGAAUUUCCCUUCGCACACGCGCAAGGAAACAGCUGCGGUGGCUGCUGCGAUCCGGGGCGGCUCAUCCCAGCGCAGUGGGACUCAGGCUGCUGCCGCCGCUUGUCUCUUCCUCUCAGUCCAAGGGUUAACAUUUCUGUGUGUGGGAGAGGCACUGGAAAUGUAAAGAAAAGCACAAAUUUGGAGGGGAAGACUGGGAGUUCACUACUGGGAAGCCUACAUCUAUUGAGAGAACAAACUGUAUUGGAGACCCCUGAAGCAAGAAGUUUAAGGCAUUGGUGGUAAGUAUCAGGUUCAUAACUGACCCUCUUACAGAAGCAGGUGGUAUCAUCACUAAUAAAAUAACCAAAUCCCUUCCUGUUGGGCA
rnacentral:lncRNA from 1 species